GUCGGCCAGUCCGCUCAGUCAGUCUGAGUAGGCCUGAGUCAGUCGGUCAAAUAGGACGCGCGUAGUCAUCACGCGUCGCGGCCGUCGCGGCGCAUUUCCACUCGCAUCUUCGUGGAGUGCCGAAAGUGUAAUGAAGUAUCGGACGUUCGUGACAAUUGCGAACCAAGACGAAUCGUGCGAAUCGUGAUGUAUCAGUGCCAGUGUGGCGAACGAGCGCCCGUAUUCAGUCGCAAUGCAACUUAAUCUUUGUCCGGAGUUUCGAAGCGUUGGUCCUUCGUCGCGAUGUCUCGCGUGGUAUAAAAUAUAUCCUCUGUACUGGGAUUAAAACGAGGGGAGAAUCGCAGUAAUAAAUUAAAGUUUCGUCGAUAUUAACGAAUCUGAGAGUUUUUGGAAUACUUUGGAUUAACGCCGAGGGGCGGAGUAAUACGUGAGUCGAAUCAUGUGCUGUGUAUGUAACUGAACACGCGGAUCGUGUCGAAUUAUACCAACGAAAAAGGGGACAAUAACGUAUCGAAACGUUUAAUUGCUGAAGCUGUAUCAAGUUGUUGCAAACAGCCUCGAAUAUAUUAUUUCUGGACGAUUCGCUCGAUUCGAUCAGCUGCCGACUUGACUUGCGUUGUAUCCGCACACGGCGUCGGUGUGAAGUUGCCGAUGUUUGAAUCUCGUAAUCUCAUCGAAGGAGCGCCAUAACGCGUCGGUCGUUUUGUUUCGGUAGUGUUCAAUCGCGAGUGUCGUAUUAUGACAAUGAGUUCGAUCGUGUUUUCGCAAGUGCCAUGCUUCGUGCAUGCGACGAGGGAAGCGCGAGACGACGACGAAGCCUUAGACGCACCAGAUUCAUUGGCAGGGCAGCUUCAAUUGAGGUUAUCUUGAAGGCAUCGGAGUGUUCAAUAGCGAUUGUCGUAACAAUGAGUUUGAUCCUCGAUUUGAUCGCAUUUUCGCGAGUAUUGUUUCGCGAAUGUGCGACGAGAAGUAAGACGACGAAACCUGGGAGACGUUGGAGCGUCUUCGGAGCAUCAGUGAAUUUGAAUGUGCAGUGAGUGAACUCGAAACGACGACGACCUGCAUUUUCGCGAAUACCGUGUUACGUCAAUGGAACUGACAAUCCGAACAGUCUGAGCGCAGGAAAAAAGGCUUAGGAGAAGCAUCGGGCGCCGGCGGAGCAACUUUGCGAAUCAACGUAGCUACGUAGCAGAUAUAACUCCGCUGUUGCGCAUCGAAUCUGUGAGUAAUGAAUUAAUUUUUUAUUAAAGUAAUAAACGAUUUAAGCAAGACAGUGCUUAAACAAUAUUUUUAUUACAAU
rnacentral:lncRNA from 13 species